rnacentral:rRNA from 1 species
CCCUUAGAUGUUCUGGGCCGCACGCGCGCUACACUGAUGCGUUCAACGAGUAUAAAACCUUGAUCGAUAGGUCUGGGUAAUCUUGUGAAUGCGCAUCGUGCUAGGGAUAGACUGUUGCAAUUUUCAGUCUUGAACGAGGAAUUCCUAGUAAACGCAAGUCAUCAGCUUGCAUUGAUUACCUCCCUGCCCUUUGUACACACCGCCCGUCGCACCUACCGAUUGAAUGACUCGGUGAAAAAUUGGGACCGUGAGUCCGCUUGCUUCAUUGCGAGUGGAUUGAUGGGAACUUUUUUAAACCUCGCCAUUUAGAGGAAGGUGAAGUCGUAACAAGGUUUCCGUAGGUGAACCUGCGGAAGGAUCAUUA